rnacentral:rRNA from 1 species
UAAGGGAUAUUGGGCAAUGGGCGAAAGCCUGACCCAGCAACGCCGCGUGGAGGAAGACGGCCUUCGGGUUGUAAACUCCUUUUGUCGGGGACGAGACAAGGACGGUACCCGGCGAAGAAGUCACGGCUAACUACGUGCCAGCAGCCGCGGUAAAACGUAGGUGGCAAGCGUUAUCCGGAUUUACUGGGCGUAAAGCGUGUGCAGGCGGAUGGCCAAGUGGUGUAUGAAAGCUCCAGGCUUAACCUGGAGAGGUUAUGCCAGACUGGCCGUCUUGAGGCAGAGAGAGGGACAUGGAAUUCCGGGUGUAGUGGUGAAAUGCGUAGAGAUCCGGAGGAACUCCAGAGGCGAAGGCGGUGUCCUGGCUCUGACCUGACGCUCAGACACGAAAGCAUGGGAGCGAACGGGAUUAGAUACCCGUGUAG